CCUACGGGCGGCUGCAGUGGGGAAUAUUGGACAAUGGGCGAAAGCCUGAUCCAGCCAUGCCGCGUGUGUGAAGAAGGCCUUCGGGUUGUAAAGCACUUUCAGUGGGGAAGAAAGCCUUGGGGCUAAUACCCUCGAGGAAGGACAUCACCCACAGAAGAAGCACCGGCUAACUCCGUGCCAGCAGCCGCGGUAAUACGGAGGGUGCGAGCGUUAAUCGGAAUUACUGGGCGUAAAGCGCGCGUAGGCGGUCUGAUAAGCCGGUUGUGAAAGCCCCGGGCUCAACCUGGGAACGGCAUCCGGAACUGUCAGGCUAGAGUGCAGGAGAGGAAGGUAGAAUUCCCGGUGUAGCGGUGAAAUGCGUAGAGAUCGGGAGGAAUACCAGUGGCGAAGGCGGCCUUCUGGACUAACACUGACGCUGAGGUGCGAAAGCGUGGGUAGCAAACAGGAUUAGAUACCCGGGUAGUC
rnacentral:rRNA from 1 species